rnacentral:rRNA from 4 species
AAAUUGAAGAGUUUGAUCAUGGCUCAGAUUGAACGCUGGCGGCAGGCCUAACACAUGCAAGUCGAGCGGCAGCGGGAAAGUAGCUUGCUACUUUUGCCGGCGAGC